rnacentral:rRNA from 1 species
UACAGGGGUGCGAGCGUUGUCCGGAAUCACUGGGCGUAAAGGGCGCGUAGGUGGUUUGAUAAGGGUGUGGUGAAAGUCCGGAGCUCAACUCCGGAUCUGCCGUGCCGACUGUCAAACUCGAGGGCUGUAGAGGCAGACGGAAUUCCGGGUGUAGCGGUGGAAUGCGUAGAAGAUCGGAGGAAGACCGGUGGCGAAGGCGGUCUGCUGGGCGAGUUUCUGACACUGAGGCGCGACAGCGUGGGGAGCAAACAGG